UAGCCUAUAGUUUAAUUGAUAAAACGUCCAUCUCAUAAAUGGUUUUUGUAGGUUUAAGUCCUGCUGGGCUAA
rnacentral:tRNA from 1 species